rnacentral:rRNA from 1 species
UGACAGGUAACGUUAUACACACAUAUAUUUACUCUCGGGUAUUUAUACUGCUGUGUAUAUAUAAAAUAUGCUAGUCCUUUCAUGAUUAUGUGAUAGGUGGUGCAUGGCCGUUCUUAGUUCGUGGAGUGAUCUGUCUGCUUAAUUGCGUUUCACUAAGGAUCUAUAUUCAUAUUACGCAUAGCAUUUUGACCCCUUUAUGCUUCGGUAUAAAGCUGCGCGUCAAACCUUGCUAUCUGCGUAUAUUAGA